AUGAGUUGUUUGAGUUGGAACUGCCGGGGGCUUGGGAACCCCCGGGCAGUUCGCGAGCUUCGCAACAUUGUGAAGCAAGAAGGGCCCGAUCUCCUGUUUGUUAUGGAGACAAAAAUUCCAGCAACAAGAGUUGAAAGCUUACAGAAUCUGCUAGGUUUCUCAGGCUGCUAUGCAGUAAGCAGUAGGGGUCUGAGCGGAGGAAUUGGCAUGUUUUGGACCUCGAACCUGGAUGUGGAACUGAAAAAUUAUAGCACCAGCCAUAUUGAUGUACUAGUGCGGAUGAAACACGAUGUCACAAAGCAGUGGCGUGUGAUGGGAUUCUAUGGAGCUCCGAGAGUGGAAGAUCGUUGCCACAGUUGA
rnacentral:rRNA from 1 species